UGGGGAAUAUUGCACAAUGGGGGAAACCCUGAUGCAGCGACGCCGCGUGAACGAAGAAGGUAUUCGUAUCGUAAAGUUCUGUCCUAUGGGAAGAUAAUGACAGUACCAUAGAAGAAAGCUCCGGCUAAAUACGUGCCAGCAGCCGCGGUAAUACGUAUGGAGCGAGCGUUGUCCGGAAUUAUUGGGGGUAAAGGGUACGCAGGCGGUUUAAUAAGUCGAAUGUUAAAGAUCGGGGCUCAACCCCGUAAAGCAUUGGAAACUGAUAAACUUGAGUAGUGGAGAGGAAAGUGGAAUUCCUAGUGUAGUGGUGAAAUACGUAGAUAUUAGGAGGAAUACCAGUAGCGAAGGCGACUUUCUGGACACAAACUGACGCUGAGGUACGAAAGCGUGGGGAGCAAACAGG
rnacentral:rRNA from 1 species